UACAACAACAACAACGUUAGCUGCCAGCCAGCCGGCUGGCCGCCAUGUUUGUGCGGGGUAGGGGAUGUCUGCCGAUGAGUUGCCGCUGGAGUUCGCUGUCGGACAAGUUGUUUGUUGACUGAGUUAAUAAUCAUUAUAAAUAGCUCUCUAAUUAAACUGCCUGUGCGGCCUCUACAAUGUGUGGGUUCAGGUAUUUCAGCUGACUUUUUUGGAGACUCCUAAUGUUUUCUAUGGGAGGAUGGAUGGAUGUGUGGGGGAACCUAAACUGAACUCUUGUACGAUUACGUGUUGGUCCAAAAUUACAAAGAUGCUGCCCGACCUGCUGAAUGUUUUCAGUAUUUUUUGUUUUAUUUCAAUGGGCCAGACCUUACUGUGAAAAAUAAUGGUGAGGCUAACAGCUUGCACCAUUAUCUAUUUGCAAAUUGGAUAGCAACUUCCAGUGACCACCUAUGCUUGGUUAAACGCAAAUCUGGAAGUUGUUGUCUAAGAUGCAAUGUUUCUCCUUAAGGUUCUUGAAAAUGGUAUCUUCUCUGAUUCAUGAUUCAAAUGUUUUUAAUGGCAUGAAGUUUCUGUACUUCGUAGAAAUGCAAUAAAUUUGCCAGAAAAAGUUA